CUCAUCACAAGUCAAUGUGGUGAGAUUAGGGAAAAGUAAAUUACAAAAGUUUUAGAGUGUCAUCACAACAGUUUCAGGACACUUACAGAUAGAGAUCAGCGCGCACGGGGCAACAAGAGGCCCAAUCCUAUAGCUGUUUGACAUCAAAUGAACAUAGGCCUAGCAAAAAGGGCCCAUGCUAACAAGCAAGGUCAAAAGCCAAACUUAGCCCCGCCCACAACAUUUGAGGUCAGGAAGUUGGGUCUGGACUUGAUCCCUUGUGGAGCAACUAUGCUCGAAUAAGAGCUGGUAGGACCAAUCACAUUGUCAGGGCGGGCUUCAUAUGAUGAUGGACAGAUGAUCAAAAGCAACACAAUGAUGUACGCGAGCAGACCGGGGGGGGGCUGUAACGUCAUUAGCGUUUUCCAAACUGCCGGGGCUAUUGGCUAUUAGCUACCGCAGCUGACACCAGCGGUAGCUAGCAGUUGAGUUCUGAUGACAACUAUGCGUCUCUCAACAUUCGUCACAUACUCCCUAGCUCUGAUUGGUUGUAGGUCUAUUCCGUUGAGUGCAGAGGCAUUUUAGGAUGAAACGUGCCCCACAAUCAGACUAGUAGAGCAAUAUCAGACUCUUAUUCUGACUAGAAUCUGAGUAUGACACCGUCAGCCUAGGCUGGAUCCUUCCUCUAGCACACAGCUAUCAAUAUGUAGAGCAAACUACACCCUCUGUCCUCAGACCCUCCAUUCAAAUAAACAAAAACUCCCCCCCAAAAAAUAGUUGAUGAAGGAAAAAAUGGGCAGAGCCAGGGUGUCUUUAAGACAAUUGAAAUGUUAUAAUAAUAGAUAGAACUUGUCCCAAGUUGUAAUAAAUAGUAAUUAUCCUUUAAAUUCAGACUACAGAUGCCUUGUUUUCCUUCUUUAACUCAUGCUCACAUAGUUGGACAUUAGGUCUAGCUUCUCUUUUCCUUAUUUUGAAACCAUUUAAAAACCUCUUUGGCAGGGCUCUCUUCCCUUAACUUUCAUUUAUGUGGCUUCCUUUCUGUCAACAACAAGACAUUGUCUUUCUGCAAGAGAGGAGACCGACUAAUGGUUGAUUUAAAAUUGUCACCUCACUGGGAAAUAACACAUGAGAAGGGGCAUUCAUUGCACAUCACCGCGUGUGUGUGUGUGUGUGUGUGUGUGUGGUGUGUGUCAUAAUACAAAGCAAAGCCAUGGCCUUUAACAUAGGAACAGGAUGUAACACCACAAAUGUAACAGCAGUCGCAGGGGGCAGUAAAUGCACCACGCGGCUUCUAAUGGAUCUUUUUUCUGCUAGUGUUUUUGUUCAAAAGGACAAUUUGAGGAACUUCACAGAGGACCUGUGGUCUAUCUGUUGGAAAUAUAAUGUAGCUGGAAGCACCAGGGUGGGCUCGGUCCAUGCAGGCUCAUGUGCACACAGACUAAUCCUCUUCAUUAAAAAACAGCAGGUGUGUGCAAAUGCUGUUAACCCCCGCAACCCCUAAAACUCCCGAAACACUCUCCACUCCACUUUCAUCUCGCAAGAUCAGAGAUGGGACGAAGGGGAGUGUGGGCACAGAAAAAGUCCAUCUUAACUACUCAUUAUGUCAGUAUUUCAAAAGUAUUUGAUGUAUUGUUCCUGCGGUACCUGGCAGCCAUUGAUUUCCAUUUAUUUUGUAGGGAAUGAAAAAUCACACAAACUAUCAAAAUGCUAAAAUAAGUCACUUGGAUGGAUCAUGCAUCUCAACGAAAGGCAAGUUUUCUUUUAGAGUUUGCUUGAGUUUACUGAUUUUUACAUUGUACAGAAGUGAAUAGAAACUAAUGGCUGUUUUGAAAAAACAAUGUUUAAUUAAGAGUAAAACUAUUCAACAAAGAGAAGAUCAUUUCCCUCGGCCCAUGUGAAUACAUUUCCAAUCCCGGUUGUGACAUUAACCCAUAUUUCUGCGGAAUAAGCAGCCCUCAUUUUCAAGAUAUUUAAAACGUGUAGUGGCAAUGGAAAAUGUGAAAUUCUCUAACCAUCGCUAGUUUUAAAAAAAGAAGAAAGAAAGAAAAAGCAGCCUGAUGAGGAGAUGAGAGAGAGUGUAGAAGUGGAGGACUUUACAGUGCAGCUUCUCAUAUGAAUGGAAGGAAGGCUUAUCUGAGGUAGCAUUUGGAAGUAAGCUGCCAACCUGACCGGGGGGGGGGGGCUUAGCUCAGCCGGCUCAUGUUACAGAUGUGGGGGUGGGGGGUGAAGAGAGAGACUGAAUUUCUUGUUGCUGAGACAAGGGAAGGGGGAGGGAGGCUGACCCCUGACUUGCCCAGCUUGGAUCUCAGGAAUAAGGAGGGUGUAGCAAGAGAGAGAGAGAGAGAGAGAGACCUUUGAUGGCUCUAUCCCACUGGCAGUAGCUCCUUACCCAAACUCUCCUGCUAGCUCAACAACACAGGAAACUUUAGCCUACAAGACAGAUCAUUUUCAGCAAUGCCUGCUGUAAGUGCUUCCCUUGUAACUAAGUACAUUUACUCAAGUACUAUACAAGUACACAUUUGAGGUAAUUGUACUUUUCUCGAGUCUUAACUUUUCAUGCCACUUUCUACUUCUACUCGGCUACAUUUCAGAGAGAAAUAUUGCACUCUUUACUCCACUGCAUUCAUCUGACGGCUUUAGUUACUAGUUACUUUAGUUACUAGUUACUUUAGUUACUCCACUGCAUUCAUCUGACGGCUUCAGUUACUAGUUACUUUAGUUACUAGUUACUUUAGUUACUCCACUGCAUUCAUCUGACGGCUUCAGUUACUAGUUACUUUAGUUAUUAGUUACUUUAGUUACUCCGCUACAUUCAUCUGACUGCUUUAGUUACUUUAGUUACUCGGCUACAUUCAUCUGACGGCUUAGUUACUAGUUACUUUACACAACACAUGCAGUUUAAAGAAUACAGUGUCUUAUUAUAAAUUAAACCACCCAACAAUAUAUCAGUGUGCUACAACUGACGAUGAGGAGAAGUGAAGGAUCUUAAUACUUCUUCCUGUCGGGCUGUCUGUUGACAGACGUUACCGAUACACAACACAGCUGUUCUGUUACUUCCCCUCUGCGAGGUGCAGACAGGUGGAGGUGAGACACCCCCGCAGACAGGGGUAGAGUUAACAGGACACUUCACUGAGAGGAAGAAAAGGAAGAACAUAAUAAGCCGUCACCAGACGUCUAGAGAUUGAUCUGUGGCCGGUCAAUAGCUGUUGCCAGGAAACGGUGUCCUGUGUCCAUCGCUCACCUCCUCACCAUCAGGGUUGGGGGUGGGGGUGGGGGUUUUGGCGGACGUAGCUAAUCAGUGUUAAAAGCACCCCCCCACCUCUUCUGUUCUCUCCCGUUCUUCCAUUGGUCCUCUGGGCACAUCAGUGCUCAGACAGCCUAGUGUCUGGACAGGAUUUAGAAAAUGUCGACUCAUGCCACUCGACACAGCAUUGUGUACGGAGAUCUUGUUUGUCGACCCUCCUUUUCUCCUCCGUGACUUCCACGCAGCAGUCCCACUGGGAGUCAACCACUUCAAAAGCUUAAGUAACCACUCAGAAGUUGAAAAAAAAAUGUCCAGUGGACCUGACUUUUUCUCUUUACUUGAAAUGAUUGAGCAGCUUGAAAGAUUCUCUGUGGGGGGGGGGGCACUGACAGGGAUUUGUUGUCUUAGGACAGGAAGCAGAAGAGAAAAAUAUUGGAACGCCAGGAAAGAAAGCUGUCCGCGCUGAUUGAUGCCUGUUUUGUGUGUGUGUGUGUGUGUUGUGUGUGUGUCGAGGUGUUUAGUUAAUCAGCUCUACUCUCCAUAAGCGAAGGCCGGUUUCCUGACUGUAAAUCUCCCACACUCUCUCUAUCACCCCCCCCCCCCCCCCCCCCCCCCCCACACACACACACACACACACUCAGCCCAGCCCUGCCCCUAAGCCCGAGGGGAUCAUAAUAACAACAAUGGCCUUCUCUCUCUUUCUCUCUCUCUCUCUCCCUCAGAAACACAUACUCUCUUUCUCCUCCCCCUAUUUUCACUCUCCCUAAUACACACACACACACACACACACACACACAUUAUUGUCUUCCCCAACCUCACUUUCCUCCUCCCCCCUCCUUAUAAAACUAGUCCAGGCCAAGGUCCAGCCUCACACAGCACAGCCUGUUUUUAGAUCCACCAGCAUGUGACAAUGUGGAAGGCCUGUACCUGAGUUCUGGGAUGUUAACACGGCCCUGCUCCUGUUGGCGUGCGUCGCCUUGACGUAACGUUUAGGUAAGGUCAGGGCACCGCUGAGCUCGUCUGAGCUGUCAUCUCUCUCAGGAUGUGUUUCUGUAAACACUGCAUGUUAAGCGUUCCUUGUUCAGCCCUGUGGUUUUUGGCUUUUUUUUGUCCUUUAUUUUAAUGAACAUCUGUUUAAAAAUCUCCACAAUCCCUCAGAAUUCACGUGUGCUCCCAGCCGUGUCUGUGCUCUCCACUCUGUGCACUUUUUGUGUUUCAGCUCCCUGCGGUCACUGUUUGCCUGCACUCCCUAAUAACGGCAAGCUUUAAAAAGUCAUUGCAUCAUCCCCGUGCAAAGUAGCAAAGCAGAUCAAGAAAUAUCUUCAUAAACAGGACAAAGGAAGAGAAAAAGAUCUGUCCAAUGUGACUGUGACUGUGUUCUGUUUCGGUUCCACUUGGGUCAACCUUGUCGCUUUUGAUGGCUGGAACCCAAAAGGUUUGUGGGUUGUCCACAUGCUUCUCUCUUUUUCCCCCCAGAGUGCAUCUCACCUUGCAUUGACCCCCAUCCACUCUGAAACCACUCCUUUUAGCACCACUCGGCGAACUCAACUGCACACAGGGGGGAUGAGACGGGAAAAGAUGGCUGACAAAUGACUUUUCAGCAUCUGUGGCCUGGAUGAAGGCAUCGGAUCAGCUCCCAUGGUGCUCUACUCAAACAUUGGAAAACUGCUUUCAUCCACUAGCCGCAGCUACAGUAGAGAGUAGAUUCGGAUGGAUUCAGAUAUUUAUUAUACUGACCGUCAAUAGUGGAACUUGGCAUCUCACCCCCGCCUCUCUCUCAUUACUACCUGAGUAACGGUUCAGUGACUUUGUGAAAAAUAACCCUAACCACCCGUGACUGGGAUACGAAAAACACCCAAAAAAAGAAAGCAGCAGUCAAUAAAAAAACACCUGAGGUUAUUGUUUAUCUUUGAUAAUUGUCUUAUUUUGAUUUGUUUUUGUGCAUUUCUUUCUCUCUCCAAACUUGAUAGGAUAUUCUUUUGUUAAUAACAUUCCAAUGCUAUUUUUUUUUUUGUUGAUUGGUUGUUAGUGGGUUUUUUUUUUUUCUGUAGAAAAUGUAAGAUUUUAUACAUUUGUGUUGUUGUGUGUUCACCUCUAGUUGAGUGUGUUAACAAGCCAUGCUGGACAUGUACACAUUAAAAAUUGCUCUGAAAAUA